rnacentral:rRNA from 1 species
GGACGAACGCUGGCGGCGUGCUUAACACAUGCAAGUCGAACGGUGAAGCUCCAGCUUGCUGGAGUGGAUCAGUGGCGAACGGGUGAGUAACACGUGAGCAACCUGCCCCAGACUCUGGAAUAAGCGCUGGAAACGGCGUCUAAUACUGGAUACGAGAUCGAGCCGCAUGGUUAUGGUCUGGAAAGUUUUUCGGUUUGGGAUGGGCUCGCGGCCUAUCAGCUUGUUGGUGAGGUAAUGGCUCACCAAGGCGACGACGGGUAGCCGGCCUGAGAGGGCGACCGGCCACACUGGGACUGAGACACGGCCCAGACUCCUACGGGAGGCAGCAGUGGGGAAUAUUGCACAAUGGGCGAAAGCCUGAUGCAGCGACGCCGCGUGAGGGAUGACGGCCUUCGGGUUGUAAACCUCUUUCAGCAGGGAAGAAGCGAAAGUGACGGUACCUGCAGAAGAAGCACCGGCUAACUAC